GCGGGUGUAGCUCAAUGGUAGAGCGGUUGGUUCCCAUCCAACAUACGAGGGUUCGAUUCCCUUCACCCGCUCCA
rnacentral:tRNA from 1 species